UGAAAAAAAAAUGAAAGAAAAAAGAAUGCAAAAAACCUUGGAAGAGAAAAAUGGGACUGGGUGGUGAAUGAUUCAUGUGGUCACAUUUAAAACUUGAAAUCUUCCUCUUCUGUAAAACUUCAAAGCUGACUCAGUUCUGUGCCUUGUUCAACACUUAUCUCUGUUAUGAGGGUUCCCUAAGUAACUAGCUAAGAAGGACAAUAUUUCAGCUCAACUCCAUUGCAAAUCUUUAAAGUUAUAUUAAACACAGACAAAUGAUUCAUUUUUUUAAUUGAUUUCGGUGCUUCUGAAAGCUACUUACUAACAGAUCUGGAGACAGGAUGUCUUUGUUUAUCCACAGACCCAGUGCGAACUCCUCCACACCAUUUCACAAACUUAUAAAACACUCCACUUGGUGUGACCACCCCUCAGAGAAGACAGCAGACUUCAGACUUCCUGUGAAUAUUAUCUUUAGCCUCAGCUGACACACAUGCAUGCGAAAGAGCAGUUUAACUGAGGCAAUGGCUCUUUUGAUCGGGAACCCUGCCUGAUACAGAAUAAGGUCAAUAAACGGCUUCAUACAGGCCACCAAAGAACUAUAGCCUGAUUAGCACCCAAAUGUACAUGCACGAGAUUGAAGAGUUGAUUUUUUGGCUCAUUAAUAAUUGUCUUUAAAAGAAUGUCACACCAAUAGACUUCCAUUCUCAGUAAAUGGGGAGCAUUAGUUUUAAUACAAGGUUAUGUUAUUUGUGGUGCCAAAUACGAUCUUCUGCUACCAUUUCUUGUGGGUAUCAUGACUUCCCUGACAUUUGUAAUGGGCUGGUUAUCUCUUUUCAAGUUUUGUCUUUCUGUGUGGUGACAACAAAGUUGCUCAUAUUCUGAGGAUCUAAUAGAGUCUAGAUGACAGCAUCAAGGUGGCAUAAGAGACCAGAUGAGCAGGCCUUCAACUGAGAGCUCAGUCCCCAUUAAUCCAAGAUAUUUCAUUCUAAUCUUGGCACAAAACAGUAGUAAUAGCAACAGGGGGUUCUGCUUUCUUUUCUGAAAUAACUAUUGUUCCCAUGGGUUUUCCAGACUGUCCUCCUUUAAAUCUGGAAAUGGUUUCCUGUUCUACAAAGAAAAUAUUCCUCCAUUCAAGUGGAUUUACAAGGGAAGAGAAGGGGUGGGGGGAGAACAAAGAGAAGGGAUUGAAUCCAAGAAAGCGUGCAGGAGAAAAGGAACUGAGUAAAGGAGCACAAUAGGGUUCAUUCUUCCAACUUUCUAUGCCACCUCCUUUGCUUCUUCAGUCCAAAUAACCUAGGUGGGCUAAAUAAAGUAACACCAUUCAAGAUGGAAAUUUAACUGAAGCCUGAGCAUUUGGCAUUGUCAAUGUUAAGCAAGCAUUGUUCAUGAUAACUAUGGUACAAACUAAGGAUAAAUCUGUGUAGGAGAAAGAGCUGCCUGAAACGUGACUGUUUCCAGCAUUAGAAGAGGCAAUAGGAAAUCUCAGUACUAAACAAGCAGUCAUGUUUCUCAAGGCACACACAUUCCUCUAGAAGACAUUAAAAUGAAUUAAUAAAAUGUUUUAAAACUGAAGCUCCUAUGCACAGAAAUAUGUUCAGAAGAAAAUGAAAACGUUACUUCUGACGUGACCAUAGCAGAACAAAAAAGGUCUUGAGCUAUAGAUGUGCCAGAUACUGGAAUGGGACUUCCACUGGAGAUGUUCAUUUAAAAGAAACUUUAGUGCUGUUGAGACAGAAGAGCUCCUGUAGAACUGUAAGAAUUAAACAAACUGAAGUUAGAGCAGCCUUUCACAACCAAGGUGCAUUUUAUUUAUUCCUCUUAGUGAUAUUCCAUAUAAAAGACCAUUGACUUGAUUUAAAAUCCCCUAAUAAUAAAUCCUCUGAUGCAGAUGUUUCCUGCACAGGAGGCAAAAACUUCAGCCACGUAGAAAUAGUUUUCGACCAUCAUAAUUUGAUCCUACCUAGAUAUCCUACGAAGAAAGGUAAUUAAUUUAUUAUUAUUUUUUUUUUGGCAUAAUAAAAUGGAAGUGAAGAAGACAGGAUGCAGCAGCAUCUUCAAGAGUAAUGUGCUUUAUUUUACUACAGGGUUAAAUCUUCACUUAAGUUUUUUUUUGUUUUGUUGUUGUUGUUGUUGUUGUUUUUGUUUUUGUUGUUUUUGUGUGUGUGUUUUGUUGUUUUCUGAAAUUAUUCUGGACUUCCAGACUCAUUUCUUCCAUGCAAGAAGUAUAACUGCUGGUGUAAUGACUUCUGUCACAUUCACAGAAGUUACAUAUUUUGUAUGUCAUAUUUUCCAUUUGAUAGGAUUUCAUUUUGCUUAUUACUCCAACGUAUACACCAAGCAUUUAAAAUCAAAUCUCCCUAUAUUUGCUUUUUGACCGUACCUUUUCCUAAUCUUCAACUGCUUUUCUGUUAUAGAAAGAAAAAUCAAUAUGGUGUUUAAAAAAGAAAUGUAGAAGAGCUGAAGAACUGGAGAGAAGCAGCUCUUGCUUGGACAUCUGCAGAUAACACGAGCCAAGUUCAGAAAUAUACACAUGAAGCUAAAAGAAAUAAAAUCAAGUCUUAAAAAAACAUGUCUUUUUUAGGACAGAGACAUGUAGCACAUCACAGAUCGCCAGAAGCAAGCAGCUCUGUCUCCUCAGCAUACACCGAUGGUGAUAUAUUUAUUAUUUCAAAGUUAUUUUGCUAAUAGAAAUAAAACAAAUGCAAUACAA